ensembl:snRNA Gm24524 U1 spliceosomal RNA
ACACAAACCUGGCAGGGUUGAUACCGUCAUCACCAAGGUCGGUUUUCUGAGGACAAGCUUUCCUCACUGUGUUCUAGAUGUGCUAACCCUGAUGAUUUCCCCAAAGGUGCAAGAUGUGGGGAGAAGACUUGCAUAAUUUGUGUUAGUGAAGAACUGAAUACACAUUUUCC